AAGAAAAAAAUUAAGCAGCUUGCGAAGGCUUUAAUUGUUUCUACUGCAGGUGUGAAUGCUCUGUGUUGUGUGCAGGAACUGGGAUGCCUAAGAAUAUCUGUGCUGAAGUGGAAGGGCUAGGCUUAGCGAGCUUGAGUUUUUGUGGUCGAGUGAAUACCUGUCUGUCUCUGACUUGAAAUAACAGUAAAUCCUUGCUUACCACCAAAACAAAAUGGGCUGCCUGUUUCUGCACUCGGGCCUUGUUCUCCUGCUGCUGAUGUUACUUACCUUGGGGAACGUGAAAAGGGAGAAAAAUGAUCCCUGAAGCCGUCGGCUAUUUGGUGUUACAGGCUCUGUUUAAAAAAAAAAAAAGCAGAAGAAAAGUAAUGGUGAGACAUAAAUCAAUAACAAAUAUUUUUUUACACAGUACCUACAGCAAAAGUACGUGUCAGACUUGCUUUACUCCCUGAGUGAAAUCACCCGGUAUGCUGCCGGCGUUUGUGUCGCCGCGGCUGUAUCGGUGGCUAGAAAUGUUUCUUGAGCUUAAGAAGCUCUACCGCAUUCCAAGGCGGGUGCGCUGUCCCGAGAGCGGAGCGGCAGCGGCUGUCUUGCAAAGACGAGCUUCUGCUGUCCUUUUUUAAGACUGAGAAAACAUCCCAUGGCGGAAGGGAUCCCUGCCUCCUCGCUCUGUGGCGCUGCCCGGGCUUCAGCUGUACUGAGAGAGAGACCUCCAAAUGGCGGGUCUGAACUGUGGCAGCCCUGGGCUGUUCCUGCUGCCGGGGGAGAAAGCCUGUUCCGAUACCUCGCCCCCUCUUUCGGACAAGCUUUUCCUCAGCUCCCGUCUGACCUCCUGUGAGCUAACGUGAGGCUGUUUCCUCUCGUGCUGCUGCUAGUUACAGGGAAAAAGCAGCUGACCCCCUCCUUGCUACAGCCUCCUUCCAGCUAGCAGCAGAGGGAGUUUCAGCUCCUCCUUGAAUGCUGUCUGAGACCUAUAUUUAUUUUCUGUUUUAUGCUGCUUUGCCCAGAACUGCUCGUGACGCUCACAGCGAGGCUGUCGCAACACCUGGGGGGAAUGAUCCCUUCCUUUGUUGUGGUGCCUGAUGUGCCCGGCCCUCCUUGCCUGCAGCUGUGUGCUGCAGGCUCAAGUUGAACUAGCUGUCGGCUGCAGCCCCUGGAUUCCUGUGUGUGGGAGUAGCUCCCUGGCCUCAUUCCUAUUUGUAUAGCUGGGGUGGGCUGAUCCUAGGUGCCUGCUUUUGUCCAACCUCAUGGGGUUGGCGACCGCGCGGCCUGCCCCUGCGAAGCCUUCCUAGCCCUCAGCAGACUGCAGCUCCUCCUAAGUUAAGUGUAAUCUGCAAAUGUAAUAAAUACGCAUUUGACUCCUGUG